CUCAAACCUGCUAUGGGACUCAGGCUCCUCUGUGGUGUGGCCUUUUGUUUCCUGGGAGUAGGUCUCAUGGAUGCAGAAGUAACCCAAGUCCCAAGAUAUCUGAUCAAAAGAAAGGGAGAGAAAGUGUUGAUGGAAUGUUUACAGGAUAUGGACCAUGACAGAAUGUUCUGGUAUCGACAAGACCCAGCUCUGGGGCUGCAGCUGCUCCACUUCUCAUAUGGGGUUGACAAUUAUGAGAAAGGAGAUUUCCCCGAUGGGUACAAUGUCUCUAGGAAGAAGAAGGAGGGCUUCUCCCUGAUGCUGGGGUCUGCCAGCACCAAGCAGACAUCUGUGUACCUCUGUGCCAGCAGUAUAUCCACAGCGCUGCACAACCACAUCCUCUCGGCACAAAAAGGGCAGUUUUAUAUUGCCAAAAUGUGA